rnacentral:rRNA from 1 species
UACGAAGGGGGCUAGCGUUGCUCGGAAUCACUGGGCGUAAAGGGCGCGUAGGCGGCCAUUCAAGUCGGGGGUGAAAGCCCAGGGCUCAACCCUGGAAUUGCCUUCGAUACUGUUUGGCUGGAGACCGGAAGAGGUAAGUGGAACUGCGAGUGUAGAGGUGAAAUUCGUAGAUAUUCGCAAGAACACCAGUGGCGAAGGCGGCUUACUGGUCCGGUUCUGACGCUGAGGCGCGAAAGCGUGGGGAGCAAACAGG